AAGAUACAGUGGUGAAUUGGCAUUAUUCCAUAAUAUUUCUAAGAGGCUUUGGAUAGCUCAGGAAGAUUACCUCCAAGAAGUUAAUUUUCCCGCUAGUCCAAGGAAAAGUGAGAAAUUUUCCGUGAAAGUAGAGAAGAAAAGAAGAUGAACAGUACAUCACCAGCUCAUUCAUCAGUGUUCCCUUAUAAUCUUAUAUCUAUCCAAGAUCGCAGAAAAGAGGCCAAGCUUGUUCUUAAAGCUGAUUUGAUGACUUCACUUAACAAAGAGGUUAAAUCCUUGGAUUAAGAUAACUGGAAGUUUGAAGGACCUCGUUUGCGCAUCCACCUUAUAUCAAGGCCUGUUGGGCUUCUAAACAAGAAGCUGGAAUAACAAAGAAUAGUUAGCUCCACCAAAAUAAGUUGGAUUCUUCAGAUAUAUCACAUCUUUCAUUUGUGGACUCAGGAAUCUGUUCUUUGGCUGCUGGCAGGAUUAAUGGUCUGUUAUUAUUAUUAUUAUUAUUUUUGAAAUAAUGGUCUUUUUAUUUCUUAAUUCUUGUUCCAUUCACUGAAUAUGAAAGACUUGUUCAGUGACGAGUCUUGUGAACCUAUUCUCAUCACCAAAAGAAUAUUCGUUUAUCUUCUUUUCUAUCCUAGAUUAGUCUUCCUUGAUGCGGUUUAGUCUGUCUUUUCCUGUCUCUUAGUCAACCAAUGCUCCAACCCAAUGGAAAGUUACAUGUAAAACAGAUAGAUUUAGAUUUAUAUUGAUUGUUUUCAACAGAUAGAUCGAAAACUAUGCCAAGAACUGCUAUGUUUUCAAGGUCAGAGAGGAGGUUGAUGCCAAGAAAGUUGGACUAAGCUGACAAGGAAGCCGGCGAUGGGUGGUUUCAAUGCUUGAAGUCAGAAGAAGCUGGUAAUGAUUUUAAGAAAAAAAAAGUGUAGUUGUAACCUUGCCACUUGUUGAUGCCUUCUCUAUAGCCAAUUCUUAUAUGCUAAAAUCUGUUCUAUGUUA